UAGGGAAUCUUCCGCAAUGGACGCAAGUCUGACGGAGCAACGCCGCGUGAGUGAAGAAGGAUUUCGGUUCGUAAAACUCUGUUGUUAGAGAAGAACAGCGCAUAGAGUAACUGUUAUGCGUGUGACGGUAUCUAACCAGAAAGCCACGGCUAACUACGUGCCAGCAGCCGCGGUAAUACGUAGGUGGCAAGCGUUGUCCGGAUUUAUUGGGCGUAAAGCGAGCGCAGGCGGUCAAUUAAGUCUGAUGUGAAAGCCCCCGGCUCAACCGGGGAGGGUUAUUGGAAACUGGUUGACUUGAGUGCAGAAGAGGAGAGUGGAAUUCCAUGUGUAGCGGUGAAAUGCGUAGAUAUAUGGAGGAACACCGGUGGCGAAAGCGGCUCUCUGGUCUGUAACUGACGCUGAGGCUCGAAAGCGUGGGGAGCGAACAGG
rnacentral:rRNA from 1 species